UACGUAGGGUGCGAGCGUUGUCCGGAAUUAUUGGGCGUAAAGAGCUCGUAGGCGGUGUGUCGCGUCGGCCGUGAAAACCUGGGGCUCAACUCUGGGCGUGCGGUCGAUACGGGCAUCACUGGAGUUCGGCAGGGGAGACUGGAAUUCCUGGUGUAGCGGUGAAAUGCGCAGAUAUCAGGAGGAACACCCGUAGCGAAGGCGGCACUCUGGGCCGAUACUGACGCUGAGGAGCGAAAGCGUGGGGAGCGAACAGG
rnacentral:rRNA from 1 species